rnacentral:misc_RNA from 1 species
UUAUGGGCUCACUGAUAUUCCUGUUGAUCUCGUUGCUGGAAGGAAGGACAAUGUGAUUCGGAAUUCAAUGGUAAAAGUGCAUUACAGGCUGAUGAAGGAUGCUGGUGUUGAUGUAUCAUAUAAAGAGUUUGAAUAUGCUCACUUGGACUUCACAUUCUCUCACCAUGAAGAACUUCUAGCCUAUGUGAUGUCACGCUUGCUGCUUGUGAAGCCCACUGAAAAGCAACCGUUUAAUCAGAAGGCCUCAAGAUCGAAGAGAAAAGGCCAAGUAAACCAUUUAAUCAGAAGGACGGUACUCGAGUAGCUGUGCUCAAUGCUUUUCUGGAUUUGUCAUACAUGUUGUACCUUUAGAACCAAGUUGUUGUACAUGAUUGAGUAGAGACUUGAGUAGAUACAUACAGGCUUCAGUCCAGUGUAAUUAAUUAGAGAAUUAGCAGCAGAAUAUACGUCUCGAGUCUUGCCCAAUGAGCUUUGCCCAUGGUUGAGUUAUUGAGUUCGAAUACUAGUUAGAGCCAAUUAUACUAAAAAAGAAGAUACAAGUCUUGGCUGCCUUCCCAACUAGUUUUUGCGGGAAAGCAUGACUUGUCUUGAUUGGAUUUUGCAAACAGAAGUUGUAUCCUUGAUGUAGGAAGUUCGCCUGGGUGAUGUUUGUAGCUUUGUAAUACAGAGAUUAGGGUUUUUUUUUUUAAAAAAAC